rnacentral:rRNA from 1 species
GACGGAGGAUGCAAGCGUUAUCCGGAAUGAUUGGGCGUAAAGCGUCCGCAGGUGGCAGUUCAAGUCUGCUGUCAAAGACCGGGGCUUAACUUCGGAAAGGCAGUGGAAACUGAACAGCUAGAGUAUGGUAGGGGCAGAGGGAAUUCCUGGUGUAGCGGUGAAAUGCGUAGAUAUCAGGAAGAACAUCGGUGGCGAAGGCGCUCUGCUGGACCAUAACUGACGCUCAGGGACGAAAGCUAGGGGAGCGAAUGGG